UUACCUCUGGGGUAACGAGUUCCAUAUGUUUAUUCUCAACUCAUUUGUCCUUUUGUUUGUUGCUUAAAGUCUCUCAAAUUUCAAAGGAUGUUUCUAGUAUUCUGAGAUCUCGUGAAUGAGUUAGAGCCAACUUACUCAAAUCCUUCAUGAUUGUAUAGAUUUCAAUUAUAUCUUACUCGUUCUCUGUUUUCCCAUCUCCCCAAUCUGAAGAGUCAUAAUAUUUUUGAAACUCUUUUUAGAAACAUUAGGUGUUGUCUCUGUGAUGCCAAACAUCUGGCUGAAAAUGGAAUAAAAAAGGGAAACAUCAGGAUGUAUUCACAUAUCCAGCUGUUUGGCAUUAGAUGAGGCUACUGCAACUUGGAGGGUUUACAUAACUUUUCCAACGUCACAGAGCUGUAGUUGGAACAGAGAAGAGUGGUGGAAAAAAUGACUGAUCUCAGAGCACACAGAUGUAUGGGCGUGAUGACCACAAAAGAACUUGAA